UACCGUGUACGCACCUAACUUUGCGCAGCUCCAAACUUUGCGCAUUUUUAAGAAGCAUGAAAAAGUGAUAAUUAACCAAUGAUUUUUCAACAAUUCUGUUUCAGUAACAUGUUCGUUUAUGUGAAAUAAGUAUUUGGCAUACAUUUGUUUACUAAGAAACCCUCGUUAAUGUUAUUAAAUAACCCAAAAACCUUAUCGUCACACGUAUAAACGUCAACUUUUACACCGUCUUAGCACAAGCGCUAAGGAGUGGCUCUGCCAAAAAUCAACAUUUUUCUGAACAUAACUGUGUUGUGAGAAGUAUAUUUGAGGUGUAUUUGCAAAAAAGGUAAUAUUCUAGUAAUUCCAUCAAUUUUCCAUACAAUAUAUCGAAUUUUUAUUUGAAAAAAGCAAUGC